UACUUUUUUUCUGCCUUUUCUGUCAGGUGUAGUUUGAUGAAGUGUGGCUGACUGUAUUGUCAGUCAACCAAUAUGACAUUUUGCGUAUCUGAUAAAACGGGACUCGUAGCUGAAGAAAAUCAGAUAAAAAUAUUGUACUUUCAAUAAAAACUUCUUUAAUCAACAUGUGAUGCGACAGUCUAGAGCCGCAUAAUCCAUGUUUGAGCGGCGCGGUGCUCAAUGUGCCGCCGUGUACGUAGGGGCGAAAUUGGCUUGUGCACCGUUUGGCCUCCACUGCAUCAAUAACAUGCGUGUAGUCCCACGCACAACUUUUAGUCGUCCGUACAGAGCGUGCCGAGACAACAGAGGGGUACCAAUCAUCCCCCUUCCCGGAGAUCGACUCCUACAUCAGGGUGUACUGCAUCUCAAAAGGGGGUGUGGCAGGGGAGAUCAGGAGAUGGACUUAUUUCUCGGAGGCUCAGCUCCUGGUGUAUGACGUCGUCAAGAACAGGUGGUGUGAGAAUAUUGGCAGACAGCACAUGAGCAACAACAUCAUGAUCUUGGUGGACUUGAGGAGAGGGGUCUACUACCAGAAGUGCCACGACCCCGCAAGGCUACAAAUCCGACGAUCACCCCGUUCCUCCGGAGCACCUCCCUUCCUUCACCGACUGGGACGAGGAUGAACUGAUCAACGUUUCUCUACGAGUGGAAGAAGAUGCAAGGUCCAACGAGAUGAAUCAGAACAGCUUUUGCUCUGACUUUGACAGUUUCCAUGACGACGAUGCUGAUGAGGAGCUGAUAAAGCUGGGUGAGAGAUACGAUGCACCGGAAACGGGCAAUGACGGCAAGACUGUACACCGGACAGUGAAUCUUGUCCAGCUGAUACCAAGUCCAACCUUCAAGUCCAGCAUUUCACCAUCUGGAAUCCGAAUGGAUGUGCCAGUCAUUAGUGAGUCCAGAUCUGAUGCUAGUUUCCGGAACUUUACCUCAUGGGUUAGUUGGGCCGAUGUUGCUCCUCCACUCGUUAAGUCACGAGCCUGCAGCAACGUCUCUGAGCGAUGUCUUAAUGUUGAUGGAGCACAUUCAUCUGAAGAAACUUGGGCUUUGUGCAUAAGCACUGUUACUAGUGGCUUGUUAAAAAAAGACAGAUCAGAUAUGCCAUUAGUUUAUUUUGGCUGAAAAAGGGGGAUGUUGAAUACUUGUCCGUCAAAUUAUAUCAUAUUUUAGUAACAGUGUGGCCAAAUUAGGCGUGGGGGGGGGGGGUGGUGGUUGCUACAGAAUAUUUUAAAUACAUUCCUGCAUAUAAGGAAAGAACACCCACUGCUAUAUAUUUCUUAUUUUUCUUUUUCUGGGCUGCCAAAGGAGGGGGGGGGGGGAGAGGGCAUAUGCAUAACAAAAGGGAGGCUUGAUUUUUAAUCUAUUUAUUACUUGAUUGAGAUAUUUUGGAUGUGUGUUGCAACUUAAUAAAUUUUAACAUACACAUAUUGUAUUGUACACAUUUUUAAAAGUACAGUCCACUUUAAUUAUUAGGAGGAUUUCAGGACCAAGCCAAUUUAUAAACAAAAUUUUGUUUUUUCUGAACACAUAGACACAUGUGCGCAGGUUUGAAUUCGGAAUUGGGAAAACUGCCUCGUUUUAAUGAGAUCUUGUUGUAUCAGCGCUCGUUAUAAUUGAAGUAGACUGUAUAUACUUCUCUUGAGAACCUAUCAUGAUCGUAUGAAUAAAAUAUAAAGUGAAAAUCCAUUUUAAGUUAGUUAUGAAACACAUUUUAUUAUAAAAAAUAUAAUUGCUCAGAAAAAUUUUAUCCUCGAACAUGUAAUGUAGAUAAUUAUAUAUAAAGAGAUCUGAUGUAAGGAAUACCUGAUAUAAAAGCUAAUUUCUCUGGUCAAAAUGAAAUCAAUUUGCUUUGUUUUGUAUUGACUACUGAUAUAACAAGAUACCUGGUACAUGUAAAACAAGCAAACUUUGUCCAGUUCCAAGGACCUCAUUUUGGGAUUUUCCACUGAAGGCUUAUAUUAAUUUAGUGAAUACGCAGAUCUUGUAUGAAUCAUGCAUUAUAAUAAAAUUAGAAUCAUAUUAAUUUUAUGAAUACAUA